GACGAACGCUGGCGGCGCGCUUAAUACAUGCAAGUCGAGCGAGAACCGGAGCUUCGGCUCCGGGGACAGCGGCGAACGGGUGAGUAACACGUGGGUAACCUGCCCUCGGCACCGGGAUAGCCCGGGGAAACCCGGAUUAAUACCGGAUGGUCCUUUCGGCCUUCGGACCGGUCGGCAACGGUCGCUACGGCCUCCGGCCGAGGAUGUGCCGGCGGCGGAUUAGCUUGUUGGUGAGGUAACGGCUCACGAAGGCUCCGAUCCGUAGCUGGUCUGAGAGGACGAGCAGCCACACUGGGACUGAGACACGGCCCAGACUCCUACGGGAGGGAGCAGUAGGGAAUCUUGCGCAAUGGGCGAAAGCCUGACGCAGCGACGCCGCGUGCGGGAGGACGGCCUUCGGGUUGUAAACCGCUUUCAGGGGGGACGAAGCCACUCGGGUGAAUAGCCCAGAGGGUGACGGUACCUCCAGAAGAAGCCCCGGCUAACUACGUGCCAGCAGCCGCCGUAA
rnacentral:rRNA from 1 species